UUUAAGGUAUUGUAUGGGGGUAUUUACGUAAUUUUUCUAAUUAAAAUUUCAUAUGAAUUGAAAGUGUUGGUAUCAAUUAUAUACAUAUAGGUGUAUAUGUAUACAUUUUGGGCAGCACACAAUUUUUUGGGCAGCACCUUUGAAGGAUAGCUGCCCAAGUGAUAAACAUCACUUGUUUGACUAUAUAUUUUCACACCUCCUUUAGUAAAUUCGUUUUCCUCAAGUCUUAGAACCUUAGAAACAUAUCUAAACAGAUUAUUCUUCAAAAUCACAAGAGAAAAACUUGGCCCUUUUGGCUGGAAUUCGAGAC
rnacentral:lncRNA from 1 species